UAGCUAGUUGGUGAGGUAAAGGCUUACCAAGGCGACGAUCUGUAGCGGGUCUGAGAGGAUGAUCCGCCACACUGCAACUGAGACACGGUCCAGGCUCCUACGGGAGGCAGCAGUGGGGAAUUUUGGACAAUGGGGGCAACCCUGAUCCAGCCAUGCCGCGUGAGUGAAGAAGGCCUUCGGGUUGUAAAGCUCUUUCGGCCGGGAAGAAAUCGCAUGGGCCAAUACCCUGUGUGGAUGACGGUACCGGAAUAAGAAGCACCGGCUAACUACGUGCCAGCAGCCGCGGUAAUACGUAGGGUGCGAGCGUUAAUCGGAAUUACUGGGCGUAAAGCGUGCGCAGGCGGUUUUGUAAGACAGGCGUGAAAUCCCCGGGCUUAACCUGGGAACUGCGUUUGUGACUGCAAGGCUAGAGUACGGCAGAGGGGGGUGGAAUUCCACGUGUAGCAGUGAAAUGCGUAGAGAUGUGGAGGAACACCAAUGGCGAAGGCAGCCCCCUGGGUCGAUACUGACGCUCAUGCACGAAAGCGUGGGUAGCAAACAGGAUUAGAUACCCUGGUAGUCCACGCCCUAAACUAUGUCAACUAGGUGUUGGGUGGGUAAAACCAUUUAGUACCGUAGCUAACGCGUGAAGUUGACCGCCUGGGGAGUACGGCCGCAAGGUUAAAACUCAAAGGAAUUGACGGGGACCCGCACAAGCGGUGGAUGAUGUGGAUUAAUUCGAUGCAACGCGAAAAACCUUACCUACCCUUGACAUGCCAGGAACUUGCCAGAGAUGGCUUGGUGCCCGAAAGGGAGCCUGGACACAGGUGCUGCAUGGCUGUCGUCAGCUCGUGUCGUGAGAUGUUGGGUUAAGUCCCGCAACGAGCGCAACCCUUGUCGUUAAUUGCCAUCAUUUAGUUGGGCACUUUAACGAGACUGCCGGUGACAAACCGGAGGAAGGUGGGGAUGACGUCAAGUCCUCAUGGCCCUUAUGGGUAGGGCUUCACACGUCAUACAAUGGUCGGUACAAAGGGUUGCCAAGCCGCGAGGCGGAGCCAAUCCCAGAAAGCCGAUCGUAGUCCGGAUUGCAGGCUGCAACUCGCCUGCAUGAAGUCGGAAUCGCUAGUAAUCGUGGAUCAGCAUGUCACGGUGAAUACGUUCCCGGGUCUUGUACACACCGCCCGUCACACCAUGGGAGCGGGUUCCGCCAGAAGUAGGUAGCCUAACCGCAAGGGGGGCGCUUACCACGGCGGGGUUCGUGACUGGGGUGAAGUCGGAACAAGGUAGCCGUAGGGGAACCUGCGGCUG
rnacentral:rRNA from 1 species